rnacentral:lncRNA from 1 species
CACAUAUCUCUGUACGAUUGAAUUAUCUUAAGAAAUAAGCAGCAAACAUGUUGAUACAUUUAACAUUGAAAUCCAUAUUUCUUAAUAUACAUUCAAAAUAUAGUUUAGGGUGACGCUCUAUAUUACAGCAGAAUAAUUACUACUACUUUCACUUUUUAUUCUUUUUGUGGAUAGUUAUUAAAUGCUUCAACGUUUACACCUACGACAUAUUCAGUUAAACAGUAUGUCUUGCUAUGGAAAGUUCAAUAUCUGUAUGGAAUAAAUGUUAUGGGAAACAAGAGCAUUUGAAAGAAACAAGUAGCGACGAUAACCACCAAGAAGUACUUUAUAGAGUAAUUUUGACUGUGUUUGGAAGUGUAGCGGUACUGCUUCUCUCUUUGAUACUCUUAGUUGGAGUUUUUGUAUCAUUGGAAGCGGGAUAUAGCACUACAGAAUAUUAUAACAAAUUUGUUCAACAGUUUUCAAUUCCUUGUGAUGAUCUUUCGUUAAGCCCAGAUGAGGAUUUCAACUUAUUCAACAUAAACAGGCACAAAUUUACAUACUCAGUUCACAACGGCUGAUAUAUUUGUACAUUCCGAAACGUCACUGAAGUUAUACUUAUAUUUGUUCAACGUAUUGGACGUCUUAGACUUUCACAGGGACUAGAAAGUCAACCAUAUCUUCAGUGUGGGAACAGCACUCUAAAACCAGCACCUGGACAUUUGACUGCAACAUUCUCUAAGGUCUCAAGACACCAUACGAAUAAAGAACAAGAGUUUGAUCAAACAAUAUCUUGGGACAAACACUCUUCAAGUGCGUUUAUUUCGGAAAGUCUAGAAUACCAAAAAGGAAAACUACGAGUGCCAGAAGGUCGAGUUUAUUUUGUUUAUGCAGCUGUACAAUUUAAUAUUAGCACUGUCAUUGCAAAGAAGAGUCGUGAUACAAGCAGACAAUGGAAAGUCUCUCUUCGAAUGUGUGUGAGCAGUGGAGAACACGAGCGCACGCUCCUUUACAGAUCAAAAGUUUUCAGCACAAGCGAAACAGAUAUUGUUUCAUCGUUAAACGUUGGGAGUCACGUAUUUCUUGCGAAAGAAGAAGACGUUUACGUAAAAAUAUCAAAUGCAGAAGGACUUAUUCAUGACUCGGAUGGAAACUCCUUUGGAAUAUUCCCAAUGUAUUAAGUCUAUAAAUGCAAAAUGUGUCAAUGUUGCUGCAAAUGUAAAAGUACAAUAUAUUAAGAUUCGAUUAUAUAUUAAUGUAAUAAAGAUAUGAAUUGUAA